CCAAACACAAAAAUUUUAAGGUGAAGGAAAUAAAAUCAAUUCACAUCUUCUUACUUAUUUCUCAAGAACCCAAAGAAGCUAAUCUGCCAAUAGUGUCAUUUCCGAGAGGCUAAUAGAGAUCAUGUAAAGUCUGGGAUGCCUCCCCUGGGAUUUGAACACGUCUUGUUCUGAGCAUGUACUUAACUUCUCUUUUUGGCUUCACUCAGUCUCCCAGGAAUCUUCAGAGUUUAGAAAAAUACUACUGAGAAAGAGGUGGUCUUUUCAGAGAUAAGAAGGCCUUCCAGAUCUGUCAUUCCUUGGGAGAAAAGUCUUUGCAGGUAGAAAGCAUGGAUUACUUUAUAUUAGAUUUUAUAUUUUUUCAGUUUUGAUUACCUAGGACCACACUAUCAUUUAAAAGUUAUGAAGCAAUUUUAUAGCUUGUCUUGCUCUUUCCCUCUAGGUAUUAUAAUAACUCUCAAAUAUACAGGAGGAAGAAGACAGUGUGGUUCAUUAGAUUCUAUACUUUGCAUGAAACCCAGUGCAUCACAUCAUCAGUUCCUUUGUGAGCAUUGGACAGAAAUUUAGGAAUUGCUGUCACCUAGCAAGAGUCAUCAGGAUGCUCCAGUCUUCCAUGUACAGAACAGUCAAGUGCACAUCCCAAUUCUCCAGUGGCAUCUAGACUCUCCAAGAGGGACAAUUAUGGAAUUGUCAGUAGUGGGAUGAGGCCUCUCUCCAAAGCAGCUCAGCUUUCUCAGUCCCCAAAGCUCUGCAUUGGACCUCACAAUCCUCUUUGUUCCAACCGAACACCUGGCAGAGAUAUAGUUAAUGAUGCUCCCUUUUGGAGUUUAUUAAUUCCAUAAGCCUCUAUUUGUGAAUGGCUGCAAUAAAGAACAAACAUAAAAGUGAGAAUCGACA
rnacentral:lncRNA from 1 species